AGGGACGAAGCCCUAGGUCGCAAACGGGAUUAGAUACCCCGGUAGUCUAGGGUGUAAACGCUGCAGACUUGGUGUUGGAGGCCCUUCGGGGGCAUUCAGUGCCGGAGAGAAGUUGUUAAGUCUGCUACUUGGGGAGUACGUCCGCAAGGAUGAAACUUAAAGGAAUUGGCGGGGGAGCACCGCAACGGGAGGAGCGUGCGGUUUAAUUGGAUUCAACACCGGAAAACUCACCAAGGGAGACCAUCACAUGAAAGCCAGGCUAAUGACUUUGCUUGAUUCUUGGAGAAGUGGUGCAUGGCCAUCGUCAGUUCGUACUGUAAAGCGUUCUCUUAAGUGAGAUAACGAACAAGACCCUCACUUAUAAUUGCUAACUAGAUCUCCGGAUCUGGUGCACAUUAUCGGGACCGCUGGCGCUAAGUCAGAGGAAGGAGAGGUCAACGGUAGGUCAGUAUGCCCUGAAUCUCUUGGGCUACACGCGCGCUACAAAGGGCGGGACAAUGAGUUCCGACACCGAAAGGUGAAGGUAAUCUCCAAACCCGUCCGUAGUUCGGACUGAGGGUUGUAACUCACCCUCACGAAGCUGGAUUCCGUAGUAAUCGCGAAUCAAAAACUCGCGGUGAAUAUGCCCCUGCUCCUUGCACACACCGCCCGUCAAACCACCCGAGUCGGGUUUCAGUGAGGCUGCCUUUUAUUGGGGUAUUCGAGCUGAGAUUCAGCAAGGGAGGUUAAGUCGUAACAAGGUAUCUGUAGGGGAACCUGCAGAUG
rnacentral:rRNA from 1 species